UACGUAGGGUGCGAGCGUUAAUCGGAAUUACUGGGCGUAAAGCGUGCGCAGGCGGUUCGUUGUGUCGGUGGUGAAAGCCCCGGGCUUAACCUGGGAAUGGCCAUGGAAACUGGCGAACUGGAGUGUGGCAGAGGGGGGUGGAAUUCCGCGUGUAGCAGUGAAAUGCGUAGAUAUUGGGAAGAACACCGGUGGCGAAGGCGGCUCACUGGCUCAUUACUGACGCUCAGGCGCGAUAGCGUGGGGAUCAAACAGG
rnacentral:rRNA from 1 species